UAUAAUUUUACUAAAUAUUAUCAAAAUAUAUUAAAAUAUUAAGAAAAAUUGAAGUAUUUUCAUUGUGAAUAUAAAACCAACAAUAUAAUAUUUAGUUUAUACUUAUAUAAAAUAUAUAUAGAUAUAUAUUAUUAAUUUAUGAUUUUAAUGAGACUAUAUUUAUACAUGGGAGUUUUUAAAAUAUUAGUAUCUUAUUAUUUUAUCGAUUUGUGUCAUAUUUUACACCGGUCCAAGUUGAGAUUGACGAAAUUUAUUAAUUUAUAGUAUUAUUAAUUUAUCGAGUAUUAAUUUAUAGAGGUUUUACUGUGGUAUAUCUGUGAGGAUUGUAUCAUAUUAUUUAAAAGAGAAAUUCUUAACUCUACAAUUAUAUACUAUUUUUUUUUGUUACAUUUUUAUUAGAUUUAAAAAAUUAAAAAACAAAGUGAGUUACACAUGUUAUUCGGUAAAAGUAUAAAAUAUUUUACUAAAAUAGUAGAAUUUGUCUGCAUAAGUAGACAUAUGAAAGUUUUAAUAGCGAAAGCCAACCAAAUAUUGCUGAAACGGGCAGGCAUUCGUAGUAACCGGUUUAGUCCACAACAAAUAGCCAAAUAUCUGUUUUGGAGUUUGACUCAUGUGAUUGUGAUGCUGUUACAACACACGUGGUUGUGAAUCUUGUUUCCUUUUGUCUUGUUUGAUGUUGUAAUAUUCUUGUCAGACUAUAAAUUCAGCCAAACACACAAAUAUUUAAAUUCAUAUCACUUCCUUCUUACAUACAACAUUUUUUAGGUUCGCUAAUUUCCAGGGUAAACGGGUAUACUUCAAAGCUUGAUUUCUUUUAUGAACUUGAGGAGGCAUUUGAUUUAGAGCCGUGUUUCAAGCAUAACCAAAAAGGCUUUCGCUUAGGGCCCCCAAAUUAUAUAUUUUUUUAGGGCUUCAAAUUUUAGAAAAUAGUUAGUAGCAUGGUAAUUUAAAUAUACCAUUUAUUUAUUCAUUAAAUUGUUUUUAUAAAAAAAAUAGUAGUUUAUUUUACUGUCAAUUUCUAAAUUGAAAAGAGAUAUAUGUUCCAUAUGUCAAACUCCUAAAUAAAAAAAAAAUAAAAAAAUACGGUUACUUUAUAUAUAUUUUUUAUAUAUUCUUAAGUAUUCUACAUACAAUCUUUAUACCAGUCUAAUUUGAUGGCAUCUUGUACCAAUCUUGAAGCAGCUUUAAAGCUUGGAAAUCAUUCUGAUGUUAUUGGGAUCGAUGAUUUGUGUUUUGAACUGGUGGUUCUAAAAGAGGCUUUGACGCGAUAUUAUAAAAGACUUUUUUUAAUUUCUUCGAUGAUAUCUUAUCCAUUAUUUGGCGAUUCUAAUUACAGUCGCUACUGUUCAAAAAAACGUUUCCAAGUUAAAGUUAAUAAAUUCUUAUCUGUGAUCAAUCAUGCUCAAAAAAACUUUUCCAAGUUAAAGUUAAUAAAUUCUUAUCUGCGAUCAAUCAUGUCACAAGAAAUGUUAAAUGGUCUAACCUAUCAUAUAUAUAUAUAUAUAUAUAUAUAUAUAUAUCUAUUAAAUGAAAGAGAAUUAGUUAAAAAUCUAGAUUAUGAAAUUUGGAUAAAAAGUUUAUCGAAAAAUAUGAAAUAAUUUUUUUGUCUUAGUUUCUUAAGUUAUUGUUUUUUUCAAAUAUAUAUUAUUCUCUUAUUAAAAAAAUUAUAAAAAAGGUCAUAUCUUUUAUAUUCGCCUCAGGCCCCAUUAAACCUUCGCACGUCACUGAUUUGAUUCCAUAUUGUGUUCCUCUGAGCGCUCUUGUAACUUUAAGUUAUCAGUUUAACACAAAAGAAACAUCACUAAUAAUAGUUAGAACCUCCAUAAGUAGAAACUGCAAAACGAACAACAUGUCUUAAUUCAGGAAAAUGUCACUGAAUAAAUGGAGAGUAGCUGAAUUAUUCUUUUGAAAAUCUUUUAGAUUAAAAUACAAAAUCUGCUAUAUACCUCUCUCGUAUAUUUUUAGUAUUCUCUAAUAAUAAUUAUUUUUUGGUGAACUAUCAGAAUAUAAAUGCGUUAGAAUAUAUCAAUGAGAUUCAUUGGGCUGAUAAGAAUACACGACUGAAAGGGUACAAAAACCCGUCACAGCUGGGCGUCUGCCGGUAGUGACACCAAUCACCAAUGAGAACAGAAGACCUCUCUUACGCAUAUAAAGCCCAAACUUAUUUGUGGUCCAUCAAAGCCCACCAAGAGUAUUAUUAAAAUCCGUAGCGGUCUUUCUUUUCAGAGUCCCACAUCGGUAAAGUGGGAGAACUGAGCAGCAGAAGCUCGCACUAUAAAUAAACCUCUCCUACUAACUAUUCAAACCACGCAGCCAUGUGGUGAGCACAAAGCGAACUAUUCUUUCGCCUUUUACUAAAGAAUACCGUGUGCUCUCCACGCUAAGUGGCAUACGCCUAUUUUUGGAGGGUCCCACUUUAGAGUGGGCCCAACAACAUUUAGUUCAAUGUUUAUAUCAACGGUUUGUUUUUGAUUAACUGACUUCGGUAUAAUACCCAGUCUCAAUUGGAUUACACCGUUUUUCCAAUUUGUAGAUUAAGGCAAUGAAAUUUUGUUAAACCAUUUCCAAAUUC